rnacentral:rRNA from 1 species
AUUGAACGCUGGCGGCAUGCCUUACACAUGCAAGUCGAACGGCAGCGGACCUUCGGGUGCCGGCGAGUGGCGAACGGGUGAGUAAUAUAUCGGAACGUACCUUUCAGUGGGGGAUAACGUAGCGAAAGUUACGCUAAUACCGCAUAUUCUGUGAGCAGGAAAGCAGGGGAUCGCAAGACCUUGCGCUGAUUGAGCGGCCGAUAUCAGAUUAGCUAGUUGGUGAGGUAAAGGCUCACCAAGGCGACGAUCUGUAGCGGGUCUGAGAGGAUGAUCCGCCACACUGGAACUGAGACACGGUCCAGACUCCUACGGGAGGCAGCAGUGGGGAAUUUUGGACAAUGGGCGCAAGCCUGAUCCAGCCAUGCCGCGUGAGUGAAGAAGGCCUGG